CUCGCGCGCGGCGUGCUUCCAGUGGGUCGUGGAACCCUAGACCCCUUUCCCCAAUCCCACGGCCGCCUCCAUCCUCCCGUGCUCCACCCCGAGCGUGCCCGGGCUCCGCCUCCUCCUCCUCAGCCGCCUCCUCUUCUCCCACAGCCCCCCACCAUUCCUCCCUUCUGCCCCCUCCUCCUUCUUGGAUCCCCACCACGGUGCCGACCUGCAGGCAAAGGACAACAGCGGCAGCGCUCUCCUCAUGCCCUCCACUCCCUCGACAACGGUGGCGGCGGCGCCCUCUGGUGGCGGAGGAGGGGGAGAUGGUGGAGCGGCAGCGACCUUCCCCUCACGCAUCCCAUCCCCCCUCGUCAUCCCGGAUCCCACCGGACCCGAGGCGUGAGGGUGCGGCAGCGACCUGCAAGGGAAGGGCGACGCUCGAAUCGAUCCAGCGCCAUGGAUCGGUCCCUGCGGAAGAAAGAGAAGAUGAGGGAGAGAGAAGUAAGGAGAGGAAGGAGAAAGAGAGAGGAAAGAGGAGAGGGAGGUGCAGCGUUGACCGAUGGCUCGCGCCAUGGUGCGGCAGACGGCCAUUUCGAUGAGAUCCACCACCUCUCGAGGUUCUCAUCUGCCCCAGGUUGCGACGAAGCCGCGGGAGGUGGAGAGAACUCGAUGCGAGGAAGGUACGGAGGAGGAUCUCAACCAGCGUGUCUUCAGCCGGAGGAGGGAAGCAGCGGAUGCGAGCUAGGAGGCGGAUCGGCUCGGCCCAGCCAUGGAGCUGCCGCUGCGGACUCCCCGCCGGCCUCCUUCGUCGUCAUGUGGAUUUGCAUGGCAAGUGAUGUUGCAUUGCCAAUGACACAUCUGGAAUUGUCGUUCGUGACUCCUGUAGAUGUUCCUGAAUUUUUCUUUGUAGUGGUUGGGUGCUGCCAUAAAACCUGUAACAGCAGCAAGAUGCAGUUCUCCGCAAAUCACUUUUAGAUCUGAGAAAGAAGAUGAACAAGAGAAUCCAAUAGAAGAAUUUGGUGAAGAACAAGAACUUUCUGAAUCCGACGCUGUCAAUCGGGCCACAGAGAGGAAGUGUGGUGGAGAUGAGAUGGGGACAGAGGAUCCUGCAGCGAUGUUGUUUCUUUGUUCUCCUGCUCAAGGUUUGCUAUCAAGAUCUCAAAAAGGAAAAACAACUUUACUCUGUUUUCUGGAGAACCUUCCCAUAGAGUCACUACCUCAACAGAGACAAAUAUGCGAUCAAGGAUAUAUUCGAUGGAUUUUCAAGCAAAACUUGGAGGCUAUUUUUCCAGAUAGUUUGGUGCUCUCAUGGUUAUUUUGUAGAGAUUGUUCCUCUGUUCAUUUCUUGGUAACCGUCUACUGCAGCUCAGCUACUGUCCAGCAGCUGACCUUAUGGUUCCUUGCUGCCCUAUCAUCUUCAUCUUGUUAUUUGGUUGCUGCUACGUGGACUGUGGUGAUUUACUACAUUUUGAUCUUCUCACUACUCAAGCAAGGUCCUUUCUGAAAAGCUUUCGGACGAUAUGAGCGCUAAAAAGCUCCAGCUUGUUGUUAACGCUGUUGGACUUGGUAAGCUUGAUGAAGCCGAGGUCCAUGAGAAAAAUAUUAUGCCGUUAUCCUGUACCGGUGGGCGUCGCUGUAUAACUGAAAACUUCCAUGCCGCGAUGACUAUUUCCCAUGUCCAAGCCUCGCUUGAUAUAAUCACAACCUUCACAACCUUCACGUGUAAUCCAAAGUGGCCUUUUUACAUUUCUCCAGGCCUUCCAUUCUCACUGUGAUUCCCCGAGAUGUCCUAUCAGUAGGCAUGCACUUUCUAAUAAAAAUUUGGCAGUCUACUUGAAGCGAGUCAUUUAUCUAGCUACAAUAACCUUCCUGCUUUUGCAAAUAAUACUUUAUGGUUGGCACUAUUGUCUAUAUCUGCCAAAUAACGUUAGUAUAGCCAGAAAUUCAGAUGCCACAUGUUAGUGAUGGUUUGUUGUUCUGCUAUCAUUCCAUGUUGGUUAGCCAUGAUAAAUUUGAUUUCUAGAGUAGCAGAUGAUUCAUGUCAGGUUUCUUUUAGAGAUCAAAAUAUGUGUUGACUCUGAAAUAAGUAGUACGCCGUCCAGUUCUACAUAGGUGAAAGCAUACUGAUCCCAUUUACAUACUAUGCAAAACUGGACGGCCUUCUAAAUCUCUGAAACUACUAUUUGUUGUGUAAUCUGUAUCACCUCUUCAUACUCUGUAUAUGCUUUCUACUUACCACAUCGACUUUUAUAGUCAGUUUACCGUGUCAUCUAUUCAGAAUCAAGCAAAUUUGGGCUUCUAAAAAACAAUCAGGUCGACACAGUAAUUUUGGCAAAACGAGAGACUGUGAUUUUCCUCUCUUUAAUUUUGAAUUACCUUUAACUAGAAAAUGUUUCCUAUUUUUUGGUCUAACCUGUCGUAAUUUUGUCUCAUCGGUCCAUCUAUAUGAGAACCUUCUAAGUGGAAGUCACAAGGUGGAGCCUUUGACAGGAAAAUGUUUCCUGUCUUUUUGUCUAACCUAUCAUAAUUUUUUUCUCGUCGGUCCAUCUAUAUGAGAACCUUCUACGUGGAAGUAGGGAUGCAAGCGGGUAUCCCGCAAAGUCCCGCAUAAGUAGAGAAUUAGUUCAAAUUGAACUAAAUCUGAGAGGAGCAGCUAUAACUAAAAUAAAUAUGUUUUGCAUGUGGAGCGGGUCGGAUCGGGCGCCGCUCUGCACCCCUACGUGGAAGUCACAUGGUGGAGUCUCAGUAUGUUUUUAUUUAAGUUAAGCUGAAAAGUUUUUACAUGAUAUUUGAACUGAAACUUAACUAUCUCAUGACUUGUACUUCAUUUGAGACUCCUGGCUGAUACUAUGACCAGAUCUUCUCCGUCUUGAUUCUUAAUGCCUUCUUCGUUUUAGUCUCCGUCUACAUGUGCAAUCAAUAUUUUGCUAGAGAUGUCUAUAUAGUUGUAUUGCACGUUGUUUUUCUGCUAUCUAAAUAACACUUGCGUUGGCUUUGGCGGUGGUGGUGCAGGAUUUGUUGGAAGCCACACAGGGCACCCGAGAAGGAGAGGAGAAUGCUCUGAAGAGAGGAAAUGAUAAGUUUCAUUGUUUUGUUUUAAGAGCAAGGGAGUUGAUAUGUAGUCCCCUAGCUUAUUUGUAUUCUACUAUGUGUAUGGCCAAAGAAAUCAUGAUUUUAUACACGCAUAUAUUUUUAAACAAAACCUAUGUAUUUUUUGCUCAAACAGUCACUCGGAAGUGCACAUAUUUUCAAUGCAUACAUGAUUUUGAA